rnacentral:rRNA from 1 species
CGCGGCCUAUCAGCUUGUUGGUGAGGUAAAGGCUCACCAAGGCAUCGACGGGUAGCUGGUCUGAGAGGACGAUCAGCCACACUGGGACUGAGACACGGCCCAGACUCCUACGGGAGGCAGCAGUAGGGAAUCUUGCGCAAUGGGCGAAAACCUGACGCAGCAACGCCGCGUGGGGGAAGAAGGCUCUAGGGUCGUAACCCCUUUCAGCAGGGACGAAAAUGACGGUACCUGCAGAAGAAGCUCCGGCCAACUACGUGCCAGCAGCCGCGGUAAUACGUAGGGAGCGAGCGUUGUCCGGAAUUAUUGGGCGUAAAGAGCUCGUAGGCGGUUCAGUAAGUCGGGUGUGAAAACUCAAGGCUCAACCUUGAGACGCCACUCGAUACUGCUGUGACUUGAGUCCGGUAGAGGAGUGUGGAAUUCCUGGUGUAGCGGUGAAAUGCGCAGAUAUCAGGAGGAACACCAGCGGCGAAGGCGGCACUCUGGGCCGGUACUGACGCUGAGGAGCGAAAGCAUGGGGAGCAAACAGGAUUAGAUACCCUGGUAGUCCAUGCCGUAAACGUUGGGCACUAGGUAUGGGAUCAUAUCAACGGAUUCCGUGCCGUAGCUAACGCAUUAAGUGCCCCGCCUGGGGAGUACGG